GGCCGGGAACUCAAAGGAGACUGCCAGUGAUAAACUGGAGGAAGGUGGGGAUGACGUCAAGUCAUCAUGGCCCUUACGACCAGGGCUACACACGUGCUACAAUGGCAUAUACAAAGAGAAGCGACCUCGCGAGAGCAAGCGGACCUCAUAAAGUAUGUCGUAGUCCGGAUUGGAGUCUGCAACUCGACUCCAUGAAGUCGGAAUCGCUAGUAAUCGUAGAUCAGAAUGCUACGGUGAAUACGUUCCCGGGCCUUGUACACACCGCCCGUCACACCAUGGGAGUGGGUUGCAAAAGAAGUAGGUAGCUUAACCUUCGGGAGGGCGCUUACCACUUUGUGAUUCAUGACUGGGGUGAAGUCGUAACAAGGUAACCGUAGGGGAACCUGCGGUUGGAUCACCUCCUU
rnacentral:rRNA from 1 species